rnacentral:rRNA from 1 species
UACGUAGGGUGCGAGCGUUAAUCGGAAUUACUGGGCGUAAAGCGUGCGCAGGCGGUUCGUUGUGUCGGCGGUGAAAGCCCCGGGCUUAACCUGGGAAUGGCCGUUGAAACUGGCGAACUGGAGUGUGGCAGAGGGGGGGUGGAAUUCCGCGUGUAGCAGUGAAAUGCGUAGAGAUGCGGAGGAACACCGAUGGCGAAGGCAGCCCCCCUGGGCCACUACUGACGCUGAGAAGCGAAAGCAUGGGGGAGCGAACAGG